UGUGUGUGUGUGUGUGUGUGUGUGUGUGUGUGUGUUUGUCCGCACAUAUGUAGAUACGACGUAAGAAAUUAUAUUAUUAAAGUAAAAACAAAAAGUGUGAACGACGCUGCGAAAACGUGCUUCCUUGUUGAAGACGGACUCAACCGUGAGGCACAAACAUGCACACCAUCCUCCAUAUUCAUUCUAUGGUUCUCAGUGCACGACGUCACCAUGUGGUAGAAGUCAGUUCAGUGGAUGGACAGCACCACCUGAUGGACUAAGAGCUCCAGAGUAGCAGAUGAAGAUGAUGAUGAGGAACCUCUGUUUCAGGCUUGCCGUAGCAACAAUGACACUGAACCAUCAGACUGUUAUUACCUCUGGAGUACCUGAGAAGGAGGAGGUCCCUCUACCUGCUCUUUAUAAAGACAAGCGGAUACACUGCAGUGGUGUGGGAAUUCAGAGGAUUCAGACAAGGCCACAGCAGCUCAGGCAGGUGGAGAGAAGGAAGAGCUGUGCACACAAGCAGGACAGGAAGAAGGAGGAGGGAAAGAACUGCGAAAGAGAGAAAAACUAACUUGCCUUUCGGAGUCUUACACUUCAAGUGUUUGGCAGACAUGCUGUCAAAUUCAGAGGUCAGAGGAAUGAUUGUAUCGACAGGUUUUAUUGCCGGUCUUAAGUGAAAAAGAGACAGAAAGCAGGCUCGAACAGCAAAGGCUUGUGAUGCAGAAAAGCACUAUGAAUCACUACAUGCAUUUUGUGCUGAGUGAAAACAGAAUCAAAGCAUGACAUUUUCACAAUACCCUCUCAGAAUUUCAGCGUAUUUGCUUCCUCAGCUAAAAUGUUCAAUUUAAUUUGGCCCAUACAGCUUUCGAAUUGGAUUUACACUUGGAAUCAUCUUAACGCAAAACCUCAACUCCAUUCAUCUGUAAAUACUUCAUGAUUUAUGGAUAGCAUGAUUGAUAUUUCUAGACCUAGAGUACUUGACUGUAGAGCCCAGCAAGAAAAUGUAAUAAUUUAAUGUGAAUGGAUCUGCAAACAAUGCAAAUACCCAACAUAUAACUGAUCAAAUAAAAACAUCUCAGUAUCAAGCACAUUACACUAAUAGAAAAAAAUGACAGCCAUCCAAAUUGACAAUAAACAGGCUCUAACUUGGUUUACUUGGGUUUGUGAACUUGUCAGGUUUUGUAAUUCAAUGAUUUGAAUUUAUAGUAUUCAAAAUAACAGCCACUAAAGGUACUGACAGAAACAUGUAAACUCCUCUUUGUGUGCAGCUAUGCACACUCAUUUUUAUGCAUUUUUUUUUAUACAGCUUUGACUUUUUCUCUCAUCACACUCUCUUUACUAAACUCAGUUGAACUUUCACAAUUUAUAUACAAAAUUAGAAACAUAGUUCAUGUAACACACUGAACUGCAUUUGUGGUCGUAACAAAGUCAGAGCAGUUGGCAACGAGAGGCAUCCAUCAUUAUUAAACAAAAACAGCUCCUGUUAACAGAUUAAUAGCGCAACGUAAACAACAUAUUCUCGCUGUCCAGUGAAAGCCAUGUAUUUCCAAAAAGGUUCACGUUUCAUUAAGUUAGAAAAACAUGCUCAUUUAAUAGUUUUUAGACAAUGCACCUCUUUAGAUAUUUUAAUAGGAUUGAAGGUUUAGCCUGAGGAGGA